GAUGAACGCUGGCGGCGUGCCUAAUACAUGCAAGUCGAGCGAACAGACGAGGAGCUUGCUCCUCUGACGUUAGCGGCGGACGGGUGAGUAACACGUGGAUAACCUACCUAUAAGACUGGGAUAACUUCGGGAAACCGGAGCUAAUACCGGAUAAUAUAUUGAACCGCAUGGUUCAAUAGUGAAAGACGGUUUUGCUGUCACUUAUAGAUGGAUCCGCGCCGCAUUAGCUAGUUGGUAAGGUAACGGCUUACCGAGGCAACGAUGCGUAGCCGACCUGAGAGGGUGAUCGGCCACACUGGAACUGAGACACGGUCCAGACUCCUACGGGAGGCAGCAGUAGGGAAUCUUCCGCAAUGGGCGAAAGCCUGACGGAGCAACGCCGCGUGAGUGAUGAAGGUCUUCGGAUCGUAAAACUCUGUUAUUAGGGAAGAACAAAUGUGUAAGUAACUAUGCACGUCUUGACGGUACCUAAUCAGUAAGCCACGGCUAACUACGUG
rnacentral:rRNA from 1 species